rnacentral:rRNA from 1 species
UACGUAGGUGGCGAACGUUAUCCGGAAUUACUGGGCGUAAAGGGUCCGUAGGCGGGGGAGCAGGUCGGAUGUGACAGCGCGCGGCUUAACUGCGCGUCGCCGUUCGAAACCGCUUCUCUUGAAUGGGGGCGAGGUCGGUGGAAUUCCCGGUGUAGUGGUGGAAUGCGUAGAGAUCGGGAGGAACCUCGAACGCGAAGGCAGCCGGCUAGCCCCAGAUUGACGCUGAGGGACGAGAGCGUGGGGAGCGAACAGG